rnacentral:tRNA from 1 species
ACUUAAAUAGUUUAAUUAAAAUAUUGAUUUGUGGAAUCAAAGAUAUAAAUAAUUAUUUUAAGUA